rnacentral:lncRNA from 1 species
UGGUGAGAGAGUUCUGUAGCGAGAAUGGGAUCGAGAGAGGAGUUCUUAAAGUAUGGAUGCAUAAUAAUAAGUAUUCACUUCUCAACGGGAAGAACAGAGAGAUCUUGUCGAUGGAGGAUCAACCUCGUCUCUGUCUGAACACUCAGAGCUGUAAUAAUGGUGGAGAAGAUGGAGACAACGUUGGUGGGUCAUCGUCUUCUUGACGCUAAUUACCAUACUUAAAUUCGGGGAAUGUUAAAGUUAUGAGCAUUAACCGUUUAAAUCUUAUAAUAGUAAGUUCUAACGUGUAAUCGUCAUCGAGAUAUAUGCAGUUUUAAAUAUUAUUGAAGUUGUUUGACAGAGAUGUUCAGAGAUCAUAAUAAAGGACAUGUAGCACAUUGUCGCAAGUCAAAUACUAACGUUGAACACGUAAUUACCUACAUUAGAAGAAACCACAGAACACUUAAUAAUUAAUUUCGAUUAAUCGAUUAAUUGGAAAGUUGCCAUCUAAAGUAAUAACUGGCAUUAUAUAAACAAAAAUGCAAAACGUACAUAAGAAAAUGGUCGCUAUUCAUUUUAUGACCGUUGACAACCAAAAACAAAACAAGCUAAAAAAAGGUUAAAACGAAGCAGAUAGAAAUGUAGAGCUGAGACAGAGAAAUUUACUAAAACAUGGGGCUCUGGCGUGAACUUUAAAAAUAAAAUUGCAGGGCAGCUGGUAUUGUCCUCUAGUACGAUGCAUGUAAUGGGCAUUGGCCACGUAUACGCUUUGGACUAAGUCCUUCCCUCUCCGUCGAAUAUAAUAUAUACUAUUAUUGAUAAAAAGAAAACAUUUUUUUUGAGCAAUGAUAAAAAGAAAAUUAUUAUUAGCUUUACCAAUUUCUUCAUCUCCAUCAACAAGUUACCCACUGGUGAAAAAGUGAAAACCCAUAACUUACAAAAUGUCUUGUAAAAUCAUUGAAGAAAAGCUUGUGAUACGACCCAUUAUUUUAUUAUAUUAUAUAGUAUAUAACGUAUGAAUAUACAUCAAGUGAUAAAAUAUUCAAUAAUAUACUAUGUAUUAAAAUGUGUUGUAGCUUUUCAUUUGAUAUACAGUAAAUGUGUGCAUUAUUUUACUGAGUGUGUUUUGGACGUUUGUAGGUAAGCACUUAUUACAUUUUAAAAGACCUAAUUAUAUUUCAUCACUGCCAUGUUCUUUACCGAUAUAAUUACAUCAUAGUCACAUGCACUUACUUAAUUUUCAAUUUAAAAUUAUAAAAAUAAAAUAAAAUAAAUCCCACAAAACCUAAUCUCCUCUUUAAACUACGUUAAUCAGAUGAGAGUUAACACACUAUAAAGAGAGAAGUAAAGUAAAGCUAUGGAUUUGUCUUCAAAACACAAACAAACUCUCCCGUCGCCGGAGAACUAACCAUAGCCGGAGAAAUGGGUGUCUGUUACAAAGAGUGUCUGAAAAACCACGCGGCUAACCUCGGCGGCCACGCGCUCGACGGCUGCGGCGAGUUCAUGCCAACCCCUACCGCAACUCCCACCGACCCUUCCUCUCUCCGCUGCGCCGCUUGUGGCUGCCACCGUAAUUUCCACCGCCGUGACCCUUCCGACCAUCUCAACUUCCUCCCUUCGCAUCCCACUUCCUCUCCCUCCGGAACAGAAUCUCCACCGUCUCAGUCGCUUCACCACGUGGCUUCCCCUGUUCCUUGCUCUUACUACACUUCAGCUCCACAUCACAUGCUUCUCUCUCUCAGCUCCGGUUUCCCUGGACCGGCAGAUCAAGAUCCGGCGGCGGUAAGAUCGGAGAACAGCUCAAAAGGAGGAAUGAGGAAACGGACGAGGACUAAGUUCACGGCGGAGCAGAAGAUUAAGAUGAGAGCCUUCGCCGAGAAAGCGGGGUGGAAGAUCAACGGCUGUGAUGAGAAGUUGGUGAGAGAGUUCUGUAGCGAGAAUGGGAUCGAGAGAGGAGUUCUUAAAGUAUGGAUGCAUAAUAAUAAGUAUUCACUUCUCAACGGGAAGAACAGAGAGAUCUUGUCGAUGGAGGAUCAACCUCGUCUCUGUCUGAACACUCAGAGCUGUAAUAAUGGUGGAGAAGAUGGAGACAACGUUGGUGGGUCAUCGUCUUCUUGACGCUAAUUACCAUACUUAAAUUCGGGGAAUGUUAAAGUUAUGAGC